rnacentral:rRNA from 1 species
ACUAUGCCUAGUCGUAAACUUUAACUUACCCCUCCAUUCGCCCGGGAACUACGAGCUAAGCUUAAAACCCAAAGGACUUGACGGUACCCCACAUCCCCCUAGAGGAGCCUGUCCUAUAAUCGAUAACCCCCGCUUAACCUCACCAUUUUUUGCUAAUCAGCCUGUAUACCUCCGUCGUCAGCUUACCACGUGAGCGUUAGUGAGCCUAAUGUUUUUCCAACUAUACGUCAGGUCAAGGUGCAACAUAUAAAAUGGAAAGAGAUGGGCUACACUUUCUAUAAUAGAAUAAACGAAAGACUUAAUGAAACCUAGUCAGAAGGUGGAUUUAGAAGUAAAGUGAAACUAGAGUGUUCACUUAAAUACGGCACUGGGGUGUGUACACACCGCCCGUCACCCUCCUCAGCUCUGCAUAAAAGUAUUUAACGCCUUUUUAGAGACUCAGAAGAGGCAAGUCCGUAACACGGUAAG